AGCAGGACAGUAGGUCCCCCCCUCCACAUUCUUAUUUCUGGCCCCCACUCCUGUGCGACGGGUGGGGGCCCGAAAUAAGAAUGUGGAGGGGGGGGACCUACUGUCCUACCCCCAAAACCCCA